AGCGUGCGUCCUAUUAGCUAGUUGGUGAGGCAAUGGCUCACCAAGGCUACGAUGGGUAGGGGUUCUUAGUGGAAGAUCCCCCACACUGGCACUGAGAUACGGGCCAGACUCCUACGGGAGGCAGCAGUAGGGAAUAUUGGUCAAUGGGCGAAAGCCUGAACCAGCCAUGCCGCGUGCAGGAUGACAGCUCUCUGAGUUGUAAACUGCUUUUGUACAGGAGCAAAACAAUCCCUGCGGGGGUUCUUGAGAGUACUGUAAGAAUAAGCACCGGCUAAUUCCGUGCCAGCAGCCGCGGUAAUACGGAAGGUGCAAGCGUUAUCCGGUUUUAUUGGGUUUAAAGGGUGCGUAGGCGGCUUAUUAAGUCAGUUGUGAAAUCCUAGUGCUUAACGCUAGAACUGCAAUUGAUACUAUUAGGCUUGAGUUAAGAAUAGGU
rnacentral:rRNA from 1 species